CAGAGAAUAGUUUAAUAAAAAUUUUAGUUUUGGGAAUUAAAGAUAAAGGGAUUCUUUUUCUCUGA
rnacentral:tRNA from 1 species